GCGAGGCAGGAAGUACAGUACAACAUGGAAAGCUCUUCAAACAGCGAGGCCUGGGAAAGACCCUGACUAGAGCAGGGAAGGGACAGGGGGAGCUGAAGAAGCUGGGUAGAAAGUGGCCCAGGGGAAACUUUAGCACAAGUAACGUUGCUGACCUAGUUGUUCAGUACAGUGUCCUGGGCUGGAACCUGGACUAGAGGUUGGGACUGAGUUCCCUACUAGCCCCAAGGAAGGGGGCCUACAAGCCCAUUACAAGGGUUAAUGAGCCUAGCGGGGGGCUGCAGGCUAAGUCCUGAAGAUGGGCUAUUCCUCAACCUUAGAGAGGGCAGGAGGAUUUUGUUUGUGUUAAAGACAUUUUGGGACUCUUAGUUUGGACAGUUGUGGACCGCAGAAGGGGUGGACUUAAAAUGGUGACCUGGCCAGAGGGCUGAGUCAGUGGAAGAGAAGCCACCACAGUGCUGGAGGGCUUGUUGGCAGGGCAGUGCUAAAAAAGUGAGAGAUACUACACCAUGCACCUAGGGGGUGCCUAGCUAUCAGCUCUCUGUUGAUGGCAUCUCCUCAUUUGUGUUUUGACUGGUUACAAAGAAAGAUGACAAAUGUUGGACCUCUUUAUAACAUUGAUAGAAGAGACCUGCACCUGCCUACAGAAGGAAGGAUUUCACACUGCAGGGCUCUGAAUCCGACAACUUUCAUGAGCAUCCUGGGAUUUUUCCAAGGAGUCUAGGAGAACUAGGUGCCCAACUCCCAUUGUAUUUCAAUGGGAUUUGAGUGCUUAACUUCUUUGAAAAUACUAUCUUAAACAUACACACACAGUCUCCAGUUGUUGACAGAACUCAAAGACCAACUAUGGUGUGAGCAAAUGAACUAAAGAAAACAAGACAUCAAAUGCAUUUUCUUCCGUUAAGUCAGUGCAUUAGUUACCAGUUCUGCUCCACUGCCUGCAAAAAAAAAAAAAAAAAAAAAUUGCAACAGUUAAUGUGGGUCAUAGGAUGAGAGAGAGAGAGAGGUGAACCUAUUGGCACAUGGUGGGGAAGGGAAUUGGAUGCAAAAUAGGAAUGUGUUUGGACAAGAAAUGUUGCUGUACUGAGCCAAGGGAAAAGGCUCAAGAUCAAUCAGUCAGAAAACGAAAAGCUUUAAAGGCAGAAGAAAUGCUAAAGUUAGCAUGUGUGGUUUACUAUAAAUUGGGGUAAUCUGAAACAGAUAUUCUCUGAAGAAUACUUCCAAUGUUUCCUGGCUCUGCUCCAGUGACUUCAAAGCCCUGUUAUCAGUGAAUUGUGGUCCCAGUCUGAGGAAAUGUCAGCUUCAGAUCACAGUUUCCUCUCAUUUCUGUGAAAAGAGGUCAAAUUAGCAAAAGUGCUGCCCACACACUGCCUCUGUCACAGCCCUAACUGGCCUAUUUUGUUAAUGCUUCAGCUAAUCUUCAGGUUAAAGAACAAAUUUGCUUUGAAAGGGUAGGUUAUUUGAUUUAGGAAGCAGAGUUUAAAAUAAUAGCCCAGCUACACGUGUUGCCAAAAAUCCAUUUUGCUCUAAUGUUCAUUUUGGGGUGUGCAGAACAAUUCAGGGAAGCAUUUACUGCCCUUCUUCCACCUUAGUUUCCUUCCCACCCUUUGCAAUUUCCUAUUAGACUGAACAAAUCAGACCCUUUAUAAGAAGGUUCUGAUUAGUACUUCUAGAGCUUGAAAUACAGUUGGAAUGGCAAGGAGUACAAUUUCUGCUGUGUCAUCAUCUAAAGGCCCUUGCACAUGAAAUUUCUCUGAGAGCGAGCCUCUAUCCAUGGUUCAACUCUCUACUUGGCUCCCCUGUAGCUUGAAGGACAGAGCUAGUUUUGCUUGUGGUUUUCUCCCUCCCCUUAUUUUAUUUAGUGUCUACUGCACAAAUCUGAAAGUGCCACUUACAUUAAACUGAAAAUGCAUAGUCUGCCGAGACUCAGUCUUGGUAACUUCAGAAGUAGCCCUAAUGGUAAAGUCGUACAUAAACAACCGUGAGGCAUUAGAUGUUGCAAUCCAGUAUCUCUCAGCAUAGGGGAGAUCACUGUCAAAUUUGAGGCUUUAGCCCUGCUGGUUGAAUCCCACUAGAAGAUGCUCGAUCCAAAACAUACAAUGAAGUUACUUCAAGUUUUAAAAACCUUAUUUAGUGAUUUAAAAUUAAACCAGAGUAGCCUGGUAUUCGAUCAGUCCAGGUAAGGAUUUAAGCAAAACCUGUGUACUGACACUCUCUGCAACUCAGUCUGUAUUCUUCAGUCUGUGAGCUAGGGAGAGCUACAAUAUCUGUAUAUUUCCAGCAUCCUACACACAGAAUCCGCUUUGCAUUCACAGCUGAGGCCAGUCUUUCCUCUACUGUGGGAGACACUGCAAACCCUAUAGUUCUGUAUGGGUAAAGGGCAGGAAAUUGGCAGUGAUACU